rnacentral:ncRNA from 1 species
GUGUUGUAUGAAAGAAGAGAUUAGUAUUGUCUUUGAUAAGGAUAGAAGAUGUCUAGUUUACAACACAGAUACAGUUAAGGUAUUGCCACCUACUCCCUGGCAUCUAUCCAUGUUUGAUA